GCUUUACAUGAUGUACACAUAUCACGACGGUCAACUUAGCCAUAUGCAUUGAUGAUAUCGCCUGUGACAAGGCACCUUCUCCUGACA
rnacentral:snoRNA from 1 species